UUGGCAGCCUCAUGAGUCUCAGAGAAUU
rnacentral:piRNA from 1 species